GGGGAAUAUUGGGCAAUGGACGCAAGUCUGACCCAGCAACGCCGCGUGAAGGAAGAAGGCUUUCGGGUUGUAAACUUCUUUGACAGGGGAAGAGUAGAAGACGGUACCCUGAAAACAAGCCACGGCUAACUACGUGCCAGCAGCCGCGGUAAUACGUAGGUGGCAAGCGUUGUCCGGAUUUACUGGGUGUAAAGGGCGUGCAGCCGGGCUGACAAGUCAGAUGUGAAAACCAGGGGCUUAACCUCUGGACUGCAUUUGAAACUGUUGGUCUUGAGUAUCGGAGAGGUAACCGGAAUUCCUAGUGUAGCGGUGAAAUGCGUAGAUAUUAGGAAGAACAUCAGUGGCGAAGGCGGGUUACUGGACGACAACUGACGGUGAGGCGCGAAAGCGUGGGGAGCAAACA
rnacentral:rRNA from 1 species